AAGGGCUAGUUAUGAUUAAAAAAAAAAACCCUGUCUUUUAUAUCAGCAGCAGAUGUGAUGAGAAGUUUAUACCUCAAGAGAACUGAGUCUUCAUGUAAUAUUUUUGACAGAAGGGAUAUUCCAGAAUCUAUAUUUCGAAAUUGGCUGUGAAAUACCACAGAUACUUGGCGGAUUCCUGUCAUUUUUGCCAUUUGUUGGGCCAAGACAUAAAAACACCACUGUGCCUUCAUUCAUGAUCCCAGAAUGCAUUUGAACUGAAGUAAGAGAGGUGAAAGACUUGGUAACAUGGGCAGCUUCUGUUCCCCCAAACAGCUGGAAUUGCAUCCAAAUCUUUUGUUCAAAAUGCAGUUCAUCCACACUCUAUUCUGUAAGCAAGAGAAAUAGGAUUGCAGGCAGGGCUUUUCUUCUUCUUUUCAGAUAAUGGCAAAGUAUCCCUAAUUCAAAACAACUCAACUAAUUGGUCCAAAAAGGAUGUUAACAGCUCCGUCUAGCAGACUGUAUUUAAAACAAUUGUUAGCAAUCAAUAAAUCCUGCCUGAUUGUUUUAUUUCAUU